GGCCCGCCCCGCCGCACUGCUCCCUUUCUUCCCCAUCGCGGCUCCUCCCCUGCUCCCUAUCACAGUCUCUCCCUUUCCUCCCCAUCGCGGCGACUCCUCUGCUCCCCACCACAGCCACCUGUGUUAUCCACGACCCUCCUCUCCCUCUACACCUUCUCCACUGAAUCAAUUGAUGCCACUAUAAUCUUUGUGCAGUAGAAACGGAUGGAUUCAUGUCAAGAACAGAAACGUCUGGCUUUACUACUACCUUCUCAUUUGCGGGUAAUUGACGCAGUUGAUCUCCGCUUAAAGCAGUGGACCGACUCUGUUCCUGUCAUCUCCUGCCCACGUCUCUGCUCCGAAGUUCGUCAGGUUACGCCCUCCGACAAUCAUCGCCAUUGAUGCGACGAAUUUGAGUUCUCGGAAUGUCAUCGCUGCAUCCCUAGCCAUCGUCUCCCUUCUCCCUACAGAUUCCCUUUUGUUUGGUAGAACCUGAAUUCACGAUUCUGGUAAGAAUUCUACACAAAGGAUCAAGAAACAUCGAUUCGUCAUUCAUUUGGGGAAAAUAGGAAUCAAGAAUAAAAUGUUGUUCUGCUAAGACGAUCCUUAGUGGCAGUUUGAGAAAGAGCCACACUUCUUGCUGACGUUUGUUUGCAUUUAAGAAAGGUGCUAGAUGUGCUUCAGGUUUUAGUGUGUGUGUUUCUAUAUCUAAGUGAUACCAGUGUUUUACUACUAACCAUGAUUUUAAGGCAUAUCAAUGUGCUUCAGGUUUUCCCCAAACAUAAGUUUCCUCAAAAAUGUUUUGUUAUUCGAACAAAUAUUUGAAGAAAUGUUCAGUUAUGCUAUUGCUACUUUUAUUUUUAGCUCAUAUUCCCGCAGCAACGCGCGGGGGGUCAUCUAGUUAAUUAAGCGCGUCUGCCAAAUUGUCGAAUCGAGGGACCCUUCGUAGCGGUGACUGGAUGAGGCCACCAGUCAAGGUCAUACCCUCUAGCCAGCUGGCGAACUCGUCGUUCGGAAGAGAUCCGCCAACACGUCAUCCGUGAAUUGCAUCUCCUUCUUGAU